rnacentral:rRNA from 1 species
UACGUAGGUCCCGAGCGUUGUCCGGAUUUAUUGGGCGUAAAGCGAGCGCAGGUGGUUUAUUAAGUCUGGUGUAAAAGGCAGUGGCUCAACCAUUGUAUGCAUUGGAAACUGGUAGACUUGAGUGCAGGAGAGGAGAGUGGAAUUCCAUGUGUAGCGGUGAAAUGCGUAGAUAUAUGGAGGAACACCGGUGGCGAAAGCGGCUCUCUGGCCUUUAACUGACACUGAGGCUCGAAAGCGUGGGGAGCAAACAGG